GACGUAGGGGGCCAGCGUUGUUCGGAAUUACUGGGUGUAAAGGGUUCGUAGGCGGUGCGGCAAGUUGGGAGUGAAAUCUCUGGGCUUAACCCAGAGGCUGCUUCCAAAACUGCUGUGCUUGAGUGUGGGAGAGGCGCGUGGAAUUGCAGGUGUAGCGGUGAAAUGCGUAGAUAUCUGCAGGAACACCCGUAGCGAAAGCGGCGCGCUGGACCACUACUGACGCUGAGGAACGAAAGCUAGGGGAGCAAACAGG
rnacentral:rRNA from 1 species